rnacentral:rRNA from 1 species
UACGUAGGGUGCAAGCGUUACUCGGAAUUACUGGGCGUAAAGCGUGCGUAGGCGGUUUGUUAAGUCCGCUGUGAAAGCCCUGGGCUCAACCUGGGAAUUGCAGUGGAUACUGGCAAGCCAGAGUGCGGUAGAGGAUGGUGGAAUUCCCGGUGUAGCGGUGAAAUGCGUAGAGAUCGGGAGGAACACCCGUGGCGAAGGCGGCCAUCUGGAGCAGCACUGACGCUGAGGCACGAAAGCGUGGGGAGCAAACAGG